UUCGUUCUGUUGCCUCUCUGAUUUCUCAACCUUUUCUCUUCACAAACCAUUUACUCUCAUUAGGGUUUUUUGCCGCCGUGCUAACAAAUUUGAUCCUCUCAUUUCAAAAAUACUCAAUCCCAAACCCACUCCCUCCCGAUUCACUCUCACUCUCACUCUCGUCGAAGGUGGAUUAGCACGGUGCCGCCGUAGAGCAGAGGAUCACUCUGCGGCAGCCACUGAUGAAGAAUCACCGUCGUGGACCAAGGUCGUGGAGCUCGCAGUAUCGCGGCGUCACUUAAGCUCGCAGUAUCACGGUGUCACUUGAGCUCGCAGUAUCGCGGUGUCACUUUCUAUCGCAGGACUGGAAGAUGGGAAUCGUACAUUUGUUUUUUUAUUUUUGCAGGGAUUGUGGCAAACUAGGGUAAUUAGGUGAGGUUGCCAUUAGAGGAUUCGUUUUAGAUUAUGUGUUUCACCUUUCUUCAUCAACGACGAGGGGCUCGGGGCGGCGGAGGAGACUGGAGGAAGAGAGGGAGGGAUUGGUGAGGCGCAUGUGGGGGGCGGCGUUGUUGUUGGUGACAACGUGGGCGUCACCGAAGAGGUUGAUGUUGUCAAGGUUGAGAUUGGGGAGCUGCUUGGAGGAAAAAGACUGUUGGACGACGAUGAUUAAGGAACAGGGGACAAAGAGGCCAUGUCGCUACGUUUUUUCGGUAGCUAAUCACAAAAAGAAAGAAAGAGAAGCAGCAAAAUAGGGAAAACAUCCUUUUUAUCUCAAAAAAUCUCAAAUAUAGAAACAAAGGCUGAUUGAAAAAUAACAUUAUCUCAAGUGAUUGACUUUGGUAAACAAAAAUCACAGUAUCUUCAAAAUUGAGCCAACAUUGGCAAAGGACAUUAUGAUGAAAGAUUGACCCCAACCAAGGAUGGAGGCACAUGCUUAAGAAGAUUAAGCAUGUUUAGAAAGGAAGUUCACUAAUCCUU